UACGAAGGGGGCGAGCGUUGUUCGGAAUUACUGGGCGUAAAGGGCGCGCAGGCGGCUCUGCAAGUCAGAUGUGAAAGCCCCGGGCUUAACCUGGGAAUUGCAUUUGAUACUCUGGAGCUUGAGUACGGGAGAGGAGAGUGGAAUUCCCAGUGUAGAGGUGAAAUUCGUAGAUAUUGGGAAGAACACCGGUGGCGAAGGCGGCUCUCUGGACCGUAACCGACGCUGAGGCGCGAAAGCGUGGGGAGCAAACAGG
rnacentral:rRNA from 1 species